rnacentral:rRNA from 1 species
GAUCCUGGCUUAGGAUUAACGCUGGCGGCAUGCCUAAUACAUGCAAGUCGAAUGGUUAGCUUGCUAACCAUGGCGAACGGGUGAGUAACACGUAGGUAACCUGUCUCAAGACGAGGAUAACCAUUGGAAACGAUGGAUAAUACUGGAUAGGACAAAUCCCCGCAUGAGGAGAUGUUUAAAGGAGCAAUCCACUUGAUGAGGGGCCUGCGGUGCAUUAGCUAGUUGGUGAGGUAAAGGCCCACCAAGGCGAUGAUGCAUAGCCGGACUGAGAGGUUGAACGGCCACAAUGGAACUGAGAACGGUCCAUACUCCUACGGGAGGCAGCAGUAGGGAAUUUUCGGCAAUGGGCGGAAGCCUGAACCCGAGCAAUGCCGCGUGAACGAUGAAGUAUUUCGGUAUGUAAAGUUCUUUUAUUUGGGAAGAAAAAACAAAUUGACGGUACCAAAUGAAUAAGCUCCGGCUAACUACGUGCCAGCAGCCGC